rnacentral:rRNA from 1 species
UACGGGGGGGUGCGAGCGUUGUCCGGAAUCACUGGGCGUAAAGGGCGCGUAGGUGGUUUUGAUAAGGGUGUGGUGAAAAGUCCGGGGCUCAACCCCCGGAUCUGCCGUGCCGACUGUCAAACUCGAGGACUGUAGAGGCAGACGGAAUUCCGGGUGUAGCGGUGGAAUGCGUAGAGAUCCGGAGGAAGACCGGUGGCGAAGGCGGUCUGCUGGGCAGUUUCUGACACUGAGGCGCGACAGCGUGGGGAGCAAACAGG